rnacentral:rRNA from 1 species
CCCUUAGAUGUCCGGGGCCGCACGCGCGCUACACUGAAGGAAUCAGCGUGGCUUUCUCCCUGACCCGAAAGGGUUGGGAAACCCGUUGAAUCUCCUUCGUGAUAGGGAUUGGGGCUUGAAAUUGUUCCCCAUGAACGAGGAAUUCCCAGUAAGCGCGAGUCAUAAGCUCGCGUUGAUUACGUCCCUGCCCUUUGUACACACCGCCCGUCGCUACUACCGAUUGAACGGUUUAGUGAGGGCCUCGGAUUGGUCUCGGCCCGCUCUUUACCGGGCGGCGCCGUUGGUCGAGUAGACGCUCGAACUUGAUCGUUUAGAGGAAGUAAAAGUCGUAACA